rnacentral:rRNA from 1 species
AUUGAACGCUGGCGGCAUGCCUAACACAUGCAAGUCGAACGAGUGGCGGACGGGUGAGUAAUGUCUGGGAAACUGCCCGAUGGAGGGGGACAACUACUGGAAACGGUAGCUAAUCCCGCAUACCAUCGGAUGUGCCUAGAUGGGGUUAGCUAGUAGGGGGGGUACAGGCUCACCUAGGCGACGAUCCCUGGCUGGUCUGAGUGGAUGACCAGCAACACGGGAACGGAGACACGGACCAGAAUCCUACGUGAGUCAGCAGUGGGAAAUAUGGCACAAUGGGCUGAAGCCUAAUGCAGCCAUGCCGCGGGUAUGAGGAAGGCCUUCGGGUUGUAAAGUACUUUCAGCGUGGAGGCGUUACCCGCAGAAGAAGCACCGGCUAACUCCGUGCCAGCCGCCGCGGUAAUAC